CAUCUUAUUGCGAUAAAGAGUGGAGAAGGCCGUCAAGGAACUUGUCACAGGCGGCGAGAGGAGGGUCGUUUGUACGUCAUCGCCUGAUGAAGUAGGGAGUUAUGGCUACAGAUCAGCAACUUUCAGAACUUUGUGUGACAAGCUGCUGACAGAAGUUCUUCACCUCCAUCUGUGGGCGGCAAGUUGUUUCAAUAAAUACGCACCCACGGCUGGCAAGUGGAAUAUUUAACCAGACCCCUCCGCUCUCACCGGCCGUUUCAGGGAAAUCGAGCAGGACUGGAGAAUCACUAGACACUGUGAUGUACACCCGUACAGUGAGCGAGGUGUGUCCGACCACACAGACGGCCCGCCAGUCAGACGACUGUAUCAUCGAGGUCAGGGUCAUUCAGGUCGCUGGCCAGGUGACUGUGUGACGUGCGGUCGUGAGGUGGCCAGCUUCCUACACAGUCUCCGUGUUGGUGUUACGGAGAGCAGCACAACAUCUACAACAUUGACCUCCACCAGCGGCGGCACAACACCACCCUGUGUACAGUGGAGAGACGUGCUGGUGUUGGACUGGUAUGACGGUAGUGAUCAGUUGGGUGUCGUCACAGGACUGCGAGAAGCGGGUAUCCCAGUGCAGGUGAUGAAGGAUGAGGACAUCGAGGACGUGGCCACGGCCCGCAGUGACGUAGUGUGGGUGGCGGGUGGACGUCGUGUUCGUGGUCUGGAGAGAAAAGUCGUCGUCUGUCUCAAAGACCCUGAUUAUCAGUCAAUUAAAUCUGACUUGGUACGACCGUACACCCGUAGCUCUUUCCGACUUGACCUUAUGUCCCGCUGUACGUCACAACUUGUGAUUGUCUCCCCUGAUAGCAAGGCGCUUGCAGGUGACUGACACUGACAUUAUUUUGUCACCUGCUGUAUUCACGUGUCUGUAUGUCUGACAUCAUCAAUUGUCUUCAGUCUUUUUCCUCUUCUACACUCAGUCUAUCACUACGUCAUCAACUCUUGAUGCCAUACACAUGACGUCAUUUUUUCUGACAACACGAGGUCCGUGUCUCUGUUUAUACAACAACUAGUGUCAACAUUAAUAUCAUACGGUAUGCACACUGGAUCUUUUUUACACAACAACAGUGUAAAAUUUAAAAUUCAUCACAAUGAUACUCAUAAAUAAAUUAUUUAGAGUAUAUUCACA